GGUUCAACUGAUUUGAAGAGCUUGCUCAGAUAUGACGAUGGACAUUGCAAAGAGUGGCGAACGGGUGAGUAACACGUGGGAAACCUACCUCUUAGCAGGGGAUAACAUUUGGAAACAGAUGCUAAUACCGUAUAACAAUAGCAACCGCAUGGUUGCUACUUAAAAGAUGGUUCUGCUAUCACUAAGAGAUGGUCCCGCGGUGCAUUAGUUAGUUGGUGAGGUAAUGGCUCACCAAGACGAUGAUGCAUAGCCGAGUUGAGAGACUGAUCGGCCACAAUGGGACUGAGACACGGCCCAUACUCCUACGGGAGGCAGCAGUAGGGAAUCUUCCACAAUGGGCGAAAGCCUGAUGGAGCAACGCCGCGUGUGUGAUGAAGGGUUUCGGCUCGUAAAACACUGUUGUAAGAGAAGAAUGACAUUGAGAGUAACUGUUCAAUGUGUGACGGUAUCUUACCA
rnacentral:rRNA from 1 species